CUCAAUGGUCCACUACAGAUAUGAGACUGCUGGGGUGAGAGGCGCUCCUCUGGGGACGCUGCCUGGGAGGGCCCGGCCCCAAGGCUGGCUUAAAUGUUCCAGGCUGGAAGGUGGAGAGAAACGUGGACGCCCCCCAGGGCUCUGGGCCACCCUCCAGACUCCUUCCCAGGUGCUAAGAUGCUGGCUGGAUCCUUUCUGGGUGCCCUGACUUUUCUCCCCUCCAACUUCAAGGGGGUAGGGAGGAGCAGGGAGCCUCCGUGAUCAGAGGGGCCUUGCCCCUGGGUGUCCUGCCUUUCCAGAUCCCUUCCGAGAGAUGUGUGUGAGGCCAGCAUGCAAAGUCCGCCAGCCUCACUUUCUACACCGCAGUCCCUGCGCGCACCUGGCAACAGUCCUGUCUGCUUUGCAUCGCACCUCCAGGAAGAGCCAGUGCUCCAGAGAUUACACCUGAGCCCUAUCAGCAAUUGUGUACUUAAAGACUAGAGGCUUCCC
rnacentral:lncRNA from 1 species